AUUGAACGCUGGCGGCAGGCCUAACACAUGCAAGUCGAGCGAGCGGCGGACGGGUGAGUAAUGUAUGGGGAUCUGCCCGAUGGAGGGGGAUAACUACUGGAAACGGUGGCUAAUACCGCAUACUAUCGGAUGAACCCAUAUGGGAUUAGCUAGUUGGUGGGGUAAAGGCUCACCAAGGCGACGAUCUCUAGCUGGUCUGAGAGGAUGAACAGCCACACUGGAACUGAGACACGGCCCAGACUCCUACGGGAGGCAGCAGUGGGGAAUAUUGCACAAUGGGCGCAAGCCUGAUGCAGCCAUGCCGCGUGUAUGAAGAAGGCCUUCGGGUUGUAAAGUACUUUCAGCGGGGAGGCGUUACCCGCAGAAGAAGCACCGGCUAACUCCGUGCCAGCAGCCGCGGUAAUUC
rnacentral:rRNA from 1 species